GACGUCCACAACACGUUGAAACACCAGUUCCUGUACGAUCACCGAAGUUAAGCAAAGUUGAGUCUGGACAGUACCUAGGUGAGUGGACGCUCGGGAAUAACAGAUAUCGUAAG